CCUACGGGUGGCAGCAGUGAGGAAUAUUGGUCAAUGGGCGGGAGCCUGAACCAGCCAAGCCGCGUGAGGGAAGAAGGUACAGCGUAUCGUAAACCUCUUUUGUCAGGGAACAAAUGCGGGGACUAGUCCCCGGAUGAGUUUACCUGAAGAAAAAGCAUCGGCUAACUCCGUUCCAUCAGCCGCGGUAAUACGCAGGAUGCGAGCGUUAUCCGGAUUUAUUGGGUUAAAAGUGUGCGCAGGGGGCCUGUUAAGUCAGCGGUAAAAGCCCGGGGCUCAACCCCGGCGAGCCGUUGAAACUGGCGGGCUGGAGUUGGAGAGAAGUAAGCGGAAUGCGCGGUGUAGCGGUGAAAUGCUUAGAUAUCGCGCAGAACCCCGGUUGCGAAGGCAGCGUACCGGCUCCACACUGACGCUGAGGCACGAAAGCGUGGGUAUCGAACAGGAUUAGAUACCCGGGUAGUC
rnacentral:rRNA from 1 species